ensembl:misc_RNA Telomerase-vert Vertebrate telomerase RNA
UAUGCAUCGGAAAGGAAAUGGAAAUAUUUUCAAACCAAAUAAAGUAAUGGUGAAUGAACAAGUGGAUCUUCUUGCCGUGGGGCUUUUUAUCCAUCUGCAGCUCUCCCCACUGGUGACCAGCCCACGGCCACCCAAACGCUGGAGUUUAUACUUGGGCAGUAGGUACAUUCAAGGAAACAUUUCACAACUGUGGGUUAAGAAACAUGAUAAUCAGAGCUGGUCCCCGUGUGCAGUGUCCUUCCCUGAGCUGUGGGAAAUGCACCAGCACUGGGCUCCACCAAGC